CCUACGGGAGGCUGCAGUGAGGAAUAUUGGUCAAUGGGCGAGAGCCUGAACCAGCCAAGCCGCGUGAGGGAGUACUGCCCUAUGGGUUGUAAACCUCUUUUGUCGGGGAGCAAAAGCCGGACGUGUCCGGCUGUGAGAGUACCCGAAGAAAAAGCAUCGGCUAACUCCGUGCCAGCAGCCGCGGUCAUACGGGGGAUGCGAGCGUUAUCCGGAUUUAUUGGGUUUAAAGGGUUCGCAGGCGGAUUUUAAAGUCAGCGGUAAAAUCGUGGGGCUCAACCCCAUCCAGCCGUUGAACCUGGGGAUCUAGAGUGUGCGAAAGGUAUGCGGAAUGCGUGGUGUAGCGGUGAAAUGCAUAGAUAUCACGCAGAACCCCGAUUGCGAAGGCAGCAUACCGGUGCACAACUGACGCUCAGGCACGAAAGCGUGGGUAUCGAACAGGAUUAGAUACCCUGGUAGUC
rnacentral:rRNA from 1 species